rnacentral:rRNA from 1 species
GACGAACGCUGGCGGCGUGCCUAACACAUGCAAGUCGAACGGGGAGUUACUUGUAACUCCUAGUGGCGAACGGGUGAGUAACGCGUAGACAACCUGCCUCUAAAUUGGGGACAACACCGCGAAAGUGGUGCUAAUACCGAAUGUGGUAACUUGAUCGCAUGAUCGAGUUAAGAAAGAUGGCCUCUAUUUAUAAGCUAUCGAUUAGAGAUGGGUCUGCGUCUGAUUAGCUAGUUGGUGAGGUAAUGGCUCACCAAGGCGACGAUCAGUAGCCGGUCUGAGAGGAUGGACGGCCACACUGGGACUGAGACACGGCCCAGACUCCUACGGGAGGCAGCAGUGGGGAAUCUUCCGCAAUGGACGAAAGUCUGACGGAGCAACGCCGCGUGAGUGAAGAAGGUCUUCGGAUUGUAAAGCUCUGUCGUUUGGGACGAACGUGCUUUGUGUGAAUAAUGCAGAGUAAUGACGGUACCAAAGGAGGAAGCCACGGCUAACUACGUGCCAGCCGCCGCGGUAA